AGCUCCAAUAGCGUAUGUUAAAGUUGUUGCGGCUAAAAAGCUCGUAGUUGGAUUUCUAGAUGAGAGGAGUGGUCCACUCUAUGAGUGUGUAUCUACUUCCGCUCGUCUAUCCGCUCUGCAAACGUGUCUGCGCUUGACUGCGUGGUACGGAGGUAGGGCCUUUUACUUUGAGGAAAUUAGAGUGUUCACGGCAGGCAAUCGCCUUGAAUAUAUUAGCAUGGAAUAAUAACAUAGGAUCUUGGUCCUAUUUUGUUGGUUUCUAGGGCUAAGAUAAUGAUUAAUAGGGACAAUUGGGGGCAUUCGUAUCGCGGUGUCAGAGGUGGAAUUCUUGGAUUACUGCGCGACGAACUACUGCGAAAGCAUUUGCCAAGGAUGUUUUCA
rnacentral:rRNA from 1 species